UGCAGUGACAGUCCACAGCCUCCAACUUAGUCCUCUCCAUUUUUUUUUGAAUCUUAGGACAAAGAGAUCUUGUAAUUUUAUCCAAGCCUUCUCUUUAGCUUAGAACCGCUAUAUCAAUAGUCUCCUAAUAGUCUCCAACAGGUGAUAAUAGAUUUGUCUCAAGUAUCUAUUUUAUACUUGUUGAAGGACUCGCAUAUGUUGUUCAACAACAUGCUCGACUUGCUUCUAGGAUUGAAGGCAUGCUUUGACCACAACUC
rnacentral:lncRNA from 1 species